UCAGUGGAGGCAGUUAAAUGAGUCCAACCUGAAUAGAAGCAAGCAGUGAGUCUGUGAUGAAUACAUUAUACAGAGGUUUUCGGCUUUAAUUUUCUCCUCAGUGGACAUAUUGCAUCUGUAGCUGCUCACCCUGGAGUGGUAGGCAUUUAUCUCAAUGAAAACAGACAAAACCAGCCCAGGCAGCUCACUGGUCCAAGGCCGCUCGGUUGUCAGCUUCCACGUUCUGCCGAAUGCAAGCUUGCUGCUCCUCUCCGAGUAGUUCAGCUCAGCAGAGUGAGAGCACCCCCAGCCCAGCCCCAAACACGGGCCAGCGCUUCAGAGCAAAACAGCACCCAUCAGCACAACCACAGCAGUGGCGGCAGCAGCAACAGCUACCCAAGAGCAGCCAGAUGAGGGAGGCCCGUGGCACUCUGCAGAGCGGAUCAACCCAAACACACCCACCUGAAUUGUUGACAGCUUAGGAGCUGACAUCUUGAUAAACAGAAGCAAGACACCCUGAAUUUCUAAGUGACAGGUGCAGUUUCUAUUAACUUCAAAAAGAAUCUCAGCCGAGUAAGAAAAUCCAGGGGCACAGCCUCUGAAGGCAAGGCUGGGAUGCCUUUUGCCCACAAAUGCUAUCCCUUAAAGCCAUCACCUGAAGCUCCAGCAUUUUUUGGUUUUUAUCAAAUUCACCCCUUCACCCUCACCCACCCAAGUCAAACAUUCAAAGUACCAUUUUCCUGGCAGGCAACAUUUGUAUUUCUCCAAGGAAUCUUUUCUUUGAAAGGAAUGAGCUAUCACUGGGGAUCUCUGAUGCUGCCUGGAGUUCAGGUCCUGUCUGAGACACUACCCAAGUCUCCAGCAUAAAGGACAUCUGGACUUAGGUGAAUUUGUUCUGGAAAUGUUCUGGGUGGCUUUCCUAGGUUGGCUGGGAACUGGGAUACAGAGACUUACUAGCUAUCAGGUAUGAGAAGACGGAUCUCCAAGAGACGUCUAAGGAACUCUUAAAUUGUCAUUUGAAUCUAAUUCUGUCUGAAGAUAGAGACGUGGACCAGUAUUCCUUUAACUGAGGAACUGCUGAGACAUACACAUACUCAAGAGCACGAUGUGUCACGGCACGAUGGUGUCAGCUCUGGUUCCCCUCCGUCUAGAUGGCUGCUGGAACAAUUGCUGCCGUUUUCAAUCAACAGGCAUCUACUAAGAUGGAGGAAUGCAAAGAGCAAAGUGAAAGAUCCCCUGACCUUGAGGGGCUUAGAUUCCAUCAGGAGUUUAUCUUCCCUUUUGAUGUCCUGUGAUACCACACUCUCAUAAACUCAUAGGAUUUGAAGAGGAAGAAUAAACACAUACAUUUACACAUCAUCUACUCGAAUCACAUCUUUUACUGAUGAGGAAAAGGGGUCAAAAGGCAUUGUGUCUUGCCCAAAGUAGGAAUGAACAGAGAUAGGAUUAAAUCCAGGCCUUGCAAUUAUAAGUCUAGCUUGAUGAUAGAAUAGAAAGCACACUCGGCCUUUAGUCAGAAAGAUCUGAGCUUGAAUCCUACAUCAGAGCCUUAUUAGCUGUGUGACACUGGGUAAGUCACUUAAUCUUUGUCUGCCUCAGUGUCCUCAGCUGUAAAAUAGGGAUAACAAUAAUAGCACCUAUCUCCCAGGGUUGACGUGAGAUUAGAAUGAGAUGUUCACAAAGUGCUCCACAAACCUUACAUACUCUCUAAAUGCUAGCUUUGUUAGCUCUCCCUACCUGAGCCUAGCUGCUGGCUGCUAGUCUGCCAUACUGCCUGUUCCAGGCUGUCUUCACUUAGGAGGCUCAGACGUGAAGCGUUUGUCAUGUACACAUCAACUCCCACCUUCUCUCCUCUGCUUAUCACAGAGAACUUUAGCUUCCAUGCAGUCCAGUAUUAACACAUAAUCAGAGAUAACCCCUCAGUCAAUAUUCAGUUAAUUUUUCCUUAACAGAAUUCUCUCUUCCCUCUUGAAUAGGGGUUCUUAACUGGGUGGCCAUACAUUUGUUAGUUUACUUUAGAAACUGAUCAUUGUAUCUCAGUCUAAUUGAUUUCCUUUGCAAUUCUAUGUAUUUUAUUUAACACAUCUAAAACAUUAUUAUAAGAAGGCUUCACCAGACUGCCCAAGGAGUCCAUGACCUAGAAAGGAUUUAUAACCCUUAUUCUGGAAGGACAGUUUGGGACUGAUGAUACUGAGCUAUGAGGGUCAGAGGAGCAGUACGACGCCACAUCUAUCAUGUUCUCACUUCCCAAAGAGUAGAAGGUCAGCCCCACAGAAGAAGGAGACAACUGGGGGAAAACAAAGUCUUCCAGAUUUUAUCUGUGUCCCAAGUGACUUUCUUGGGGGAAAGUCAACCCAAUACCUGUACCUCAUACCAGAGACUAGACCCCUCUCUGCCCGUUGUUCUAGAAAAGGACAAGCCAGCUUUGUGGGUUUGGUUGAGAGUGUGUGUGUGUGUGUUGCAUCCCUGCCCACUAAUAUGAUAUCUUUCACAUAGAGAAAUAGAGGUAUGCAGACCCAAAAGAAGAGAACAUACUUCCGUUCUUCAGUUAGCCAUCAUUUUUCCAUGAUGGUCACAGGAAGCCACCUGAUCUCCUUUAUGACUCACAAGUUUGUUCACUCAUUCAUUUACUCAGAAAUAUUUAUUGAUUUCCUACUAUGCAUAGAGCUCUGUUUUAGAAGGUAUGGGGGGGUAUUAACUUUGCAAAUUUUUAAAUUGGUUUUAUUUGCAUAAUUGCUAGCCCAGUGUGUAGUCUUCAGUCACGGAACAGAGGGAAGCCAUGUAGAGAUGUUGAGACCAAACCCAUGACUAUGAUUUUUAUCAUUCUCACUCUCAUUUAUCAUUAUAUGUGUUUUGUAGAGAAAUGCCAUCCUAUAUGUGUCAUCUGAAUAAUGUAUGAUCAGCUCUGGGCCUCUUCUAUGAGAGUAAGAAGGGGCCAAGUUCCCACAGGAAGGUGCGAGCACAGGAUGCUGCCUCAGUCCUUUGGGACAGAGAUAGACAUGACCAUCAUCCUGCCUGCUCCCUGUACCAGCACCUGAAGCCCGCUUCACUCACAUCUGCCCAAUCUUGACGUUCCUGUCAAAGGCUCCCUGACCUACAGCUUUUAUGGCCUGAUCUGGAGAGCAGAGGUGCAUUCAGGAAAGACAGCUUCCCAUACACUGACGAUGUGCUCUUGUCCACUGCUUUCCAGCUGGGGAAAGGACUCACUAUUGCCCCUUUAAAGGGGAUUCUCUUGGGUUUUUUGUGCUGCUUUCCCAAGGCUGAAGGGUGUAGUAAGCAUCUCAUCACUCUCUUGUCCUGGGGCACACAUCUGGAUGCCUUCCUCUGGCCAGGAGAUCCUAUUUCAUGGAAGUGUCACGGGCAGAGGCAAGCAGGCUCUGCCUGGGUGGGCCCCACAUGAAGCCUGGUGCUCAGAUCAGUCAAAAAGCUCCACCAAGAACCAAUCCCUGGGCUAAAUGCUGUUCAUGUCCUCAAUCAGAUGGUGUCCAGUGACAGCCUCCCAACCAAGCCCUUUCUCUUCCUCUUCAGCUUAUCAACCUAACACAAACCACUGGAAUAAACUGUCUUCUACCAUGCUACCUUGGUACCAUGGGCCUGGUGGCUUUCUAGGGUAUGGGGGUGACUCACUGGGUUAGAAAGGAUUUGCUAUGCAUACCUCUGCCUAGCCCCUGAUGGAAUGAAUGUGGAAAAUUUUUCUAGCUUCAGAGAAUGCAGCAUUUAGGGGCUAACCAAUCAUCUGAAAUUCCUGUAAUAAAUGAAAAAUAAACACACAGCCGAGGAUAUAAUUCAGCUAACCUCUCUCCUGAACAAGUCAGAUUCUAGAUAGAAAGCAGAUUUUCAUAUUUACUGUAUGUGACAGCUGUAGGAAUUAAAUGAAUCAUCUGUCUA